AUACGACUGACGAGUCUUAAAUAGGACGAAACGCGCAUUUUGGAU
rnacentral:hammerhead_ribozyme from 1 species